CCGAGUCGGUGGUGCGUGGAAGCUCUUCUGCGGAUCCGCCGUGACAAGCGGGGAGUUACUUUCUGAUUGUGAUCAUCAAUGGCGUCCUGUCUCAAAGCUGCCUGCCUACCGAAGCUUCUAAUAAGAAAGGGUCCCAAGCAAAGAGAUUAAAAGUUCAAAGAGAAAGGCGAAGAAACUGUGAUUCAAAGCACAUGAAAUGAGGCAUAAGAGAAAGUUGGCACCUCCGUCAAUUUGGAUAAAGAACAUAGGAACAGAGAAUUGCUGAUACCUCCACCAAUCUGGAGAGAGAGAGAGAGAG